rnacentral:rRNA from 1 species
GAUGAACGCUAGCGGCAGGCUUAACACAUGCAAGUCGAGGGGUAUGGUUCUUCGGAACCAGAGACCGGCGCACGGGUGCGUAACGCGUAUGCAAUCUACCUUUUACAGAGGGAUAGCCCAGAGAAAUUUGGAUUAAUACCUCAUAGUAUAGCAGCUUCGCAUGAAGCCACUAUUAAAGUCACAACGGUAAAAGAUGAGCA